rnacentral:rRNA from 1 species
AGGUGCUAUCAUACCAGCACUACUGUACCGGAUCUCAUCAGAACUCCGCAGCUAAGCGUGCUUAGGCGAGAGUAGCACUAGGAUAGGUGACCUCUUGGGAAGUCCUCAUGUUGCACCCC